GAUGAACGCUGGCGGCGUGCCUAAUACAUGCAAGUCGAGCGAACAGACGAGGAGCUUGCUCCUCUGACGUUAGCGGCGGACGGGUGAGUAACACGUGGAUAACCUACCUAUAAGACUGGGAUAACUUCGGGAAACCGGAGCUAAUACCGGAUAAUAUAUUGAACCGCAUGGUUCAAUAGUGAAAGACGGUUUUGCUGUCACUUAUAGAUGGAUCCGCGCCGCAUUAGCUAGUUGGUAAGGUAACAGCUUACCAAGGCAACGAUGCGUACCCGACCUGAGAGGGUGAUCGGCCACACUGGAACUGAGACACGGUCCAGACUCCUACGGGAGGCAGCAGUAGGGAAUCUGCCGCAAUGGGCGAAAGCCUGACGGAGCAACGCCGCGUGAGUGAUGAAGGUCUUCGGAUCGUAAAACUCUGUUAUUAGGGAAGAACAAAUGUGUAAGUAACUAUGCACGUCUUGACGGUACCUAAUCAGAAAGCCACGGCUAACUACGUG
rnacentral:rRNA from 1 species